UCCACACAGAUGUGGGUUUUAGAUGUGGAGGCUGUCCUCAUGUCCAUGGCGAGACAGCUGAAUGCUUCUCUGGAGAAAUAUCCUCGUUAUAAAAGUGGAAACAGCCCAGAGUGUCGCCCUCCAUCUUCUUCAAAGCACAGCAGGUCCCUCUCCAGUCAACCAUAGAGGCUUUAGAUGUUCUUAAAUUAUUUGAAGGCAGAAACACAUUUUUCUGUUCCCUUUUUCCCUUCACUUUAAGCCAUUCCUAUUGAUUGAUUUAUAGCACUGUGGCUUUGUGUGCUGAAAAUAAAAAAAAAUAAUAAUAAUAAAUAAAUAUAUAUAUAUAUUGGUCUGGACACAGUUUUCAGAACAAACCUGACUGCUUCAAUCACUCACGCAAUGAUCGCUUCUCUUAAGCUGUUGUUUGACAUUCAGGCGAGGAAAGUGAUUACUCAACUGUCCCAUAAGCAAUGAAAAGAAGUGUCCAACUUGAAGUUCUCUGGAAUGUAACUUUUUGUCAUUUCUCUGUUCUCAGACCAGAAAUAAACAAGUGUUUUCUGUGA